CUUGCCUACGGGGGGCAGCAGUGGGGAAUAUUGCACAAUGGGCGCAAGCCUGAUCCAGCUAUUCCGCGUGUGGGAUGAAGGCCCUCGGGUUGUAAACCACUUUUGUAGAGAACGAAAAGACACCUUCGAAUAAAGGGUGUUGCUGACGGUACUCUAAGAAUAAGCACCGGCUAACUACGUGCCAGCAGCCGCGGUAAUACGUAGGGUGCGAGCGUUAAUCGGAAUUACUGGGCGUAAAGGGUGCGCAGGCGGUUGAGUAAGCCAGAUGCGAAAUCCCCGCGGUU
rnacentral:rRNA from 1 species